AAUGAACGCUGGCGGCGUGGUUAAGACAUGCAAGUCGAACGGUUUUUCAGGUGUAGCAAUACAUUUGUAAGAGCAGUGGCGAACGGGUGCGUAACACGUGAACAAUCUACCUUUUAGUUGUGGAAUAGCUCGGCGAAAGACCGGAUUAAUAACCGCAUGUGGUUGCCUCUCGCAUGAGAGACAUACUAAAGUACAGGGACCGGCAAGGCCUGACGCUAUUAGAGGA
rnacentral:rRNA from 1 species